rnacentral:rRNA from 1 species
GACGAACGCUGGCGGCGUGCUUAACACAUGCAAGUCGAACGGAAAGGCCCCUUUGGGGGUACUCGAGUGGCGAACGGGUGAGUAACACGUGAGUAACCUGCCCUUGACUUCGGGAUAACUUCAGGAAACUGGGGCUAAUACCGGAUAGGAAUCCUUGCUGCAUGGUGGGGGUUGGAAAGCUUCGGCGGUUUUGGAUGGACUCGCGGCUUAUCAGCUUGUUGGUGGGGUAGUGGCUUACCAAGGCUUUGACGGGUAGCCGGCCUGAGAGGGCGAACGGCCACAUUGGGACUGAGAUACGGCCCAGACUCCUACGGGAGGCAGCGGUGGGGAAUAUUGCACAAUGGGCGGAAGCCUGAUGCAGCAACGCCGCGUGCGGGAUGACGGCCUUCGGGUUGUAAGCCGCUUUCAGCAGGGGCGAAGCUUGUGGUGACGGUACCUGCAGAAGAAGCACCGGCUAACUACGUG